AAUGCCAUUGGCAGGUGGCGACGCACUUGGUUUGAUUAUUAUACAUGACAAACUGUCGAAAGUUCCUAUACAUAAACCGAAAUUUGAAAGUUGAUAACUUGGUAUUAAACCAUAACUACGAAAACAAAAGGGAAGACAAAGAAGGCGAGACGGAAGGAUUGGAACGCGCUGUUUCGUUCGUAUCCUCAUCAUCCCGUGGAACUUUGUACAGGAAGUUGGUGGACAAGCGUCGUCUCCGAGAGUCGCUCUGAAUUUGCUUAGCCCUCCUCCGCAGAACAGAUGAUCGAAGGAGAUUGGCAACUUUUACUGAGCGGCUUCUUCCUCUCGCACAGGCGCUGCGAUGGUAUUGCAGCACAGAGCCAGCCGGCGAGCCAGGGAAAAGAUAUGGGUGACCAUCUGCAACCAAUUAUGGCGGCGCUGCAGCCACCCAGAAACUCAGUGACGGAUGGGGAUCUUGUAUUUAUAGCCGGGCGCCUUGUUAAAAAGGGGGGUCGGCCCAUCGGAUGUUCACAAUGGCACUAUCGCACUGAACGGGAUUCGGGGCCCCGAAGGACAAGCGGAAAACCUCGGCCGAACUGAGCUGCCACUUGAAAACGAUAGAGCCCCCUCGCGGCCCAACACUCCGAGAGACGUAACCAGGAAUUCCUGAAUCAAUCGGCAACAGGCAAGCCCUAAACCCCCGUGUAAUUACAUAUUUGGAGUUUAUCAGGGUUUAUACGAAAAUGCGCAAGUUUCCCUACCCUGGUGGUCCUUAAACAUAUCCAUAUGUCUCGCAUGUUUCCAUUGCUGCUUUUCUCUCUCUCUCUCUCUCUCUCUCUCUCUCUCUCUCUCUCUUCUCUCUCUCUCUCUCUCUCUCUCUCUCUUUCUCUCUCUCUUUCUCUCUCUCUCUCUCUCUCUCUCUCUCUCUAACCCCCCUCCUUCCCCCGCCUCCUCGAACUUCCUCUCCUCCUCUUUCUCCUCUGUGACAAAUGUUUGCUGAACAAUGUGGCCCUUGGCAGCGCUGUUUUCUUCUUCCGAAGGCUUAUGUUGUCCUCUCAGACUCACCGGGUGUUGGUUUGUGAGCAAACAGAGGAAAGUGAAACCAACCCGGGUAACCCCGAAUGCAAUGCACAAAAUGGGGAGGCCCUUUCAUGUGUGGGCCACUUUUUUUUGUCUUCCUUUGCUUCUCUUAUUCAUCCUGCUUGAGAAAAAUGAUCUGUUUUAAAACACGUCCUAAAUAUUACCAUAUUUACAUUUUCUUGUUUCAAAAAGCCAGGACAUGGGGGGAGAGCGCAGUGUCGAUUUUUCUGAACCGCCCGCCCUUCUCCCUACCUUUUCUUUUCUCCCCCCCUUAAAUGGGAUGGUCUCUGUCCGAGGUUAGGCCCCGUUUGAAACUUUAAACCUUUUUCAUGCUUAUUUGUUUUAUGAUUCUGCAGGACACCGUGUUUACAUUGAGAGUGCAACAUCUGGAUUAGAUAAUUUGUUGGGAAUUAACUGAGCCCCAAAUGCUUAUCCAGCUCAUCUGAUUACAUCUGUUUGAACUUUACCGCUCUUUUUCCUCAACAUUCAUUUACCCUUCAGCCAACUCGCCACCAUUCUCUUGUUGCUUCACGUGGUUUCCGAAAAUGAUUUAGACACUGAGGAUUUCAAGCGAAUCACACCGCUCCACAGCUCUCCUGGGUUACUCAAAUAUUUACCUUUACUUUAUGGAAUCGCAGUAUUACUCCAGCUCAGCAUUUCACUAAUACCUCAGUUUUCUCUCUCGCUUUGUUAUGCACACAUACUGGGGUUUGUUUCCCCAAAUAUUUGGUGAAGAGUAAAUGCUUCUGUUCAUGCUGUCACUUUUAGUUUGGAUUUAUAGUAACACCCUUGUAACACUCCUAAAUGUUGG